rnacentral:rRNA from 1 species
CGUUAGCGGCGGACGGGUGAGUAACACGUGGAUAACCUACCUAUAAGACUGGGAUAACUUCGGGAAACCGGAGCUAAUACCGGAUAAUAUAUUGAACCGCAUGGUUCAAUAGUGAAAGACGGUUUUGCUGUCACUUAUAGAUGGAUCCGCGCCGCAUUAGCUAGUUGGUGGGGUAAUGGCCUACCAAGGCGUCGACGGGUAGCCGGCCUGAGAGGGUGGACGGCCACAUUGGGACUGAGGUACGGCCCAG